AAAAUAUAUUGUUGAAAAAAAAAUCACCUCCAAAAUUGUUAAGUCUUAGAAGUAUAUUUCUUUUUCCGUAGCUCCGUAGGUCUUACGGUGUGGUCAAAAAGUGGUUAAGGCAUAUUUUCAAGGAGCUACAGCUCAAGAAAUUAAAGCUUUGUAAACCAUCAGUUAAAGAGUCCGUCCAUCCUCAGUGGUAGUUUAUAAAUAGUCAUUAUGCAAAAUAAAUGAUAUGGUAAAUGAUUACAUUAAACAAACAAACAGUAAAUGAGCAAAUGAAUGAAUCAAAACCCAGUCUUGAUUACUUUUCUUCUGUUGUAUGUGAAAGACAGUUUCCCUUUGUGUCCUUUGCCUCUCCCACAUUCUGUGUAACAUAUGGAUACAUUUAGACACUAACGGAUGGUGUCGUUUGCUUUAAGCUGUAUAAACAAGCAGCAAACUAUAUGCCUUCAACUAUGUAGUGCAUUCUUUUAUUGUCUAUCCUCUUAUUUGUUCAAAUGCUUUGCUCGGUUUUACUUCUUCAACCCCUCUUUUGUACCCCCAAUUUAAAAAAAGGGGAGUCUGUAAUCCACUCUACAGUGAAACAUGCCAAUGGUGCUCUCUUGUGGAUAAAAUAAACAUUACAAUUAUUCAUGUCAUAAUUUCUCUAACCAUGAUUAUGGGAUUGCAAUGAAAAUAGUCAAACUGGGUAUGUUCCCUUAUUAUUUUAUAUUAGCUCUACAGUAUAUCCAGUAUGUCUGUUAUUGUAUUACAUUUAUGUUUAAAAUGUGGACAAUUUUCCCACAAGAACAUGAUAUUGCUGGAAUGUCACAGCACUGAUCCAGCAACCAAUCUGAUGAUGCUUAUAUACGCUAGGGCAGUGGUUCUGAAACAUUUUACAAGAAGUACCACCUUAACAAAAAUAGCUCUUCAUGUACUACCACCAUGACCAACAUUAAAAUACUGAAUUUUGAAAAUUAACGCUGUGCUUAAAUAUAAAGGAAAAUGAAAAUGAAAAAAAUAUUUGACUAAAGAUUCAAUUAAAUGGUAUUGCACAUACAGUAGGAGUUUAAUAAAAUCUGAAGCUAAAUAAAUACAACUUUAAGAAAAAGCAGUUCUUAAUGAUGAAAUGCAAAUUCAGUGAACAUAAAAGAUACAAGUAAAGCGAUUGUUUUACAUACCACUAGAGGGAGCCGAUGUGAUACUAGUGGUAACACUACCACACUGAAGCUCACUGCUCUCGGCGGAUACAGUAUCUGCAUAGUAUCCAGGGUUCAGCACAGUUUUUACAAAAGAUGGCUUUCCUGAUGCAACCCACUUUUUUCUUAUCUGGGCUUGGGACCAGCUACGGCUGGGUAUUAAGUCAUUGGCCCAGAAUCAAAUGCAUGAAACCUAGCAGCUGUCACAGUCUGCUGCCUUGACAGACAGCCAAUCUGUCAGCCAAUCACUUUCUAUUGUAGAGGCAAUCUGUCAACCAAUCAUGUUCUACUGACCACAGUCAGCUACACCUGUCUAUUUAAGGCCUUGUUGGAGAUGCAAUCAGUGUCAGAGUGGCUGACAAUCAUACAUUCAAGACGCCUCAACAUGUUUGCCUGUUCCUUUCUCCCAUGGCCGUUGGGGAUCCUGAUACAAGGUCAACAAGGAUGUUCCACCGUGGACCGAUACCAUUACAUUGAGCGAUGCAGGUGACCUUGGCCUGUUUUUGGGAGCCACACGCUUACCAGACACUUCAAUUGGGUCACGGGUGAGCUGGAACCUGUGCCAGCUGACUUUGGAAGAGAGGUAUGACAGACACCUGAGAAAUCCCAAGCAAGGAUAGGAGAACAUGGAAACUCUACUCAGGAAGAGAUUCAAAUAAAGAGCAUCUGAACUGUGAGGCAGACAUGCCAACCACUGCUCCAUCGUGCUGACGUAUAAGGUAACUAAAAUAUUACAAACAGCUCUCUCCAGAGCAAUUCUACAUCACUGAAAACUACAACCAAAAAUGUAUAGUCAAGUUAUGAGUUAUCAAACUACAAUAUCUAAUAAAUUACUGCUCAUAUUGGAUCCCUUCAGUUGAACAAGGGGGCAGCACAUAUGCCUAGUGAUUAGCAUGUAUGCCUCACUGUUUUGUGGUUUGGGGUUCGAAUCUUAGCUCCGGCCUUCCUGUGUGGACGGUGCAUGUUCUGCCUAUGCACGUGAGAGUUUUCUCUCUACAAAAACAUCCAGGGGUGCCAAAUUAAUUUUUUUCGCAGGCCACAUUGUUGGUACAGUUUCCCUCAGAUGGCCGUUAUGACUGUGAAAGCAUAUAAUUGUUUCAUCGCCUCAUCAUAGUAUUACAUAUACACAACAAAAUGAUGGAUAACUAGGUUUGACAUUAGAAAUCAAGGAUAAUUGUUUAUUCAACUAUUAUUCAAGUUACUGCAAAGAUGGGGUUGGUAAUAAAUAAUACUUGCAAUAUUCAUUCAUUCAUUCAUUAAUCUUCCGUUCCGCUUAUCCUCACUAGGGUCACAGGCGUGCUGGAGCCUAUCCCAGCUAUCUUCGGGCGAGAGGCGGGGUACACCCGAACUGGAUGCCAGCCAAUCGCAGGGCACAUAUAAACAAGCAACCAUUCACACCCACAUUGCUUGCAAUAUCUCAAAGUUAUUAUUUAUAAUGAGUUUAAAUUUUGGUCCAGAUGUGAGCAAGAAUCAUGGAAGAUGACCCAGAUUAUUUGCUUUCGCGGGCCACACAAAAUGAUGAUGCAGCCCGGAUGUGGCCCCCGGGCCUUGCGUUUGACACCUGUGUCUUAGCUCCAUUGAAGACUCUAAAUUGUCCAUAGAAUAUGAAUGAGAAUACUUGUUUGUGUAUAUAUGCUCUGCGAUUGUCUGGUGACCAUUCCAUGGUGUACCGCACUGGGAUAGGCUGCAUUUUACCUGUGACUCUAAUUAGGCCAAGAGCUAUAGAAAAUGUUUGAAUGGAUCGUUGAUCGCUGUACCUAAUGUGGUGGCCGAGAAUAUACAUCCUGUAUUCUGUAGUUUUUCCUGCAGGGGGAAGCAUUGUACUAUGUAAAAUGAGAAGCAGCUAGUUUAAAAUCUUUCAAAGAAAUUAUACUCCUGCAUGACUGAUUUAUACAUUUUUUAAAAACAUUAUUCAGGAAUUUUUUUUAGAUGUGUAUAUAUAUCUAAACAAAAAAACAGCUGAAUAAAACGCAA